AGAAGAAUUUUUAUGAUUAUCGGGUAACACACAGCCCAUCUCAUGUUUUGGUCUUGCUCGGCCAAAGUUUGUAUUUAAAUCAUUUUGGGUGACACAUACAAUCAUAAGCAUUUGUUGAGAAUGAAUCGAAAAUUUGGAGGUGGAAAGCAGCCAACUGGGACUCCUUCUCUGCCUUGGUCCUGUGUGGUGGUUGUUUUCUCUCUUCUUGCUGGUGCCUCUGUUGUCCACAAUAUUUAUAAGCCUGAUCUUACAUUGCCUCCAGUUGAUGGGACCAAGCAGAAACUGGACGAGAAAGAAUGAUCCUCCUCCCGUCAUGAAUUCUUUAUUAAAAAGAUGACAAAAUGGCUUAAAACGUGUCUGCAAGUAAGC